GCGUUGGUGGUUCAGUGGUAGAAUUCUCGCCUGCCACGCGGGGGACCGGGGUUCGUUUCCCCGCCAACGCA
rnacentral:tRNA from 1 species